rnacentral:ncRNA from 1 species
CUUGCUGAUUUAGUGUUCGGCUCGACGCGAUUUUUAAAACACUAAAAUUAAGGUAAAUAUUAUGUCUUUAAAUGCUGCUGAAAAAGCUGCUAUCGUUGCAGAAUACGCACAAGCUGA